GAGGGUGGGCCAGUGGAGGGGCUCUUUCCCCCUGGGAAGGUGGGGAUGGAGAAGGCUCCUGGAAGGGCCACUUUGAACCACAUAAGAGCAUAUGGUAUGCCCGGCCCUGUAGGAGAGAGCAAGGUGCUCUGGGGACAGGGAAAUGAGUGUUCAGGCUGGGUGAGGACAGGACUGGUGACCUCACAAUGUUGCCCUGACCCCCUCAGCUUGGGGAGGCCCCGCCUACACCUAGUGUGAGUCAGACAUCAGGGCGGAAGCCCCCACCAGAGGAGGCUGGGGCCCAGCACCCAGUCCUGGGACCACCCUGGGACCACUGAAGGGACACCUUACUGCCAUUGUUUCUUCUCCAGAGUCCUGGCCUCCCCUGGAAAGACUGGCCUGGGAUCCAGGCUGUGAGAUGGGCUGAAAGGCGGUGAGGGGAGUCCUUUCAGGACAUUCACAUAAAGGCAUUGCUCAGCUGGUGAAUUUCUCUUUUUGCUGAAAACUCUGCCUCCCCCCAUCCAGGGGUUUGGCUGGACACCAGGCUUUUGGAAGGAUGAAUAUUUCACCAUAUGAUCUGGCCUAGCUUGGCAGUCAUGGUGCCUCAUGGAAACUGUGGGUUUCGGAGCUGAGGACACACCCAGAGCGGGCUUGCCUGGCCCCAUCCUCGGGCUUUCUGCCAUAUUAGCAUCUCAGUGUCUUGUCUGGACCCCGAGGCCUGCCCUGCACUGGGCUCUCAUGCAAGGACAGGAGAAGGAAGGGAAAAGGGGCACAGGGCUGGUGACAGAGACCAUCAGAGGCUGCAGAACUUGGGACUGCUACACUUUGACAGAAGAAACAUCAGAGGGCAAGUCUUGGACCUGGAGGUCUUCGUGGGUGCAGGGAGGCAUAGCAGAGCAACAGCGCUGAGCACCUGAGCCAAGUUCAAAGGGAACAGCUGCAUCCCUGCGGAGGCAUGUAGAAACAGUUGUCUUCCCAACUGAGAAGAUUGCAGCUAUAUGCAUAUCAUAUAUAUUAACCAUAUAACUAGAAAAAUAAUCAGAUGAGGGUCUGUCUAAGAUGCUGGAAGCAGGAUGUGCUGCAGACCUAAGGAAUGGCCCCAUGGCUGGACAUGGAGGCAACGGGGUAGUUUACACUCUGCCUUCCGGAGCUGAGCCUGGACUUCCUGCCCUGGGGUCCAUCUCUGUCAUUGGUGAUCUGUACCCAGUUUUCCUCUUCAUGGUUCAGGUGAAUGGGUGCUCCCAGCCAGUCCUGGCUUCCAGGUGCUCUGCAGUUCAGAGGGGCUGGCGGGCAGCAGCCGCUGCACUGCACCCGCGGCAGCACUGCAGGCUCCAUCAGGGCAUCCCCGUGCACCUGCCAUCCAGCAGACAUUUCCGCCUGCCUGUGGAGGACAGUCUGGGAGUCCCAGGGCCUCUCUACAAAGUGGACACAUGGAAGAAAACCUGGCUCCAAGCCCCACGCAUCCGGCCUGGGAUGUUGAUGUGCGUGCUGCCUCUGCCAGGGCAGGCACUCCUCCCCCAGUGCUGAUGUCCCUGUCUCAGCUUGGCCGCAUGUAGGAAGCAGCGCCAGGGCCCCAGCUGCUCUGCUCCUCCCCCCAGAAGGCAAUUCUCGUCCAGGGAGUUCAGGUAGCCAGUACCCUGGGCCUGAUGAGCCUCAGUUCCCAGCACUCUCUCUCCAUUCUGAUUGCUAGAGGACACUCCAGGCUGUCUUCCCCUCACCCCCUGCCCCGUCCCUGGCCUUGCACACACAUGUGGGUUGAAUGCACAGAAGAAAGAAUGGGUGAUCGCUUACGGUGAGGAGGAACCAGGCAGCCAGCGACAUCUAAAGCUGGAAGAGAACUCACAGAGGGUUCCCUUGGAAUCCCUUACUCUGUCUGUUUGGGCCCCUCUUCCAUGCUUGCUGGAAAAGAGGCUGGGAACUUGCCCAGUGUUGGCAGGAGUCUGUGGGGGCUCGAGGGUGUGUGGGGCAGAUCUUGGCUCACUGCAGGAGUUCAGUGUAGCUUCAAUCACUUACUGGAAGAUUCCACUGCUCUCCUGAGUCCCCAGACUGAACCCUGGAGUCUUCCACAAUCCAUGUUGUAACUGAUGACUCGUGCUGAUUUCUCUGUUCUACUUCUGGAAAUGGUUUUAGACUUGUGGGGCUGGUUGGGUAGAAUCCUACAAGAACAGAUAUGCAUUGCUUCCUUUCUGCAUGUCCCGUGACCGUGUCUGAGCUUCCGUUGCUACUGAGAGGACAGACAACAGAGAGCUUUACAAUUCCCUCUGCAAAUGUUGUGCUUAUUUGGAAUUUAGUUCUACAUUGGGUGAUGUGUCACAACUCUGCUAAAAUCAAUGAACUUCAAGGUCUUACAUUAGACCAACAAAUCUCUUGGACAUUCAGUGCUGAAACUCCUUUUGCACAUAUUCCUUCAGAAAUCUGAGAACCAGAUAGUUGGAAUUCUCUUUGCAGCCUGUUUUUAUGUUCAGCCACUUGGAAAUUUAGCACAUGGUGGGAACUCAAAUAUUUUGCUUAAUAAUUGCAGACUCAUUAGUUUCUGUACAACUAUGAGGGCAAACUAUUAAAUGACCCUCUAUGUAUAUGGGCCUUAAGAAGAUUAAAAACAUGAUUCUGUAGAACAUGAGUCUAUAGAAACAAUGUUGCCUCUGUCGUUUCUUCUAAGGUUUUAUUCUACUGAUAUUCUAUUACAUUCUAAUGUUGCUUCUAAUGUUAUAUUGAACGGGCAUUGUUUCAUCUUCUGAUUCCAGGAAGCAGAAGCAGAAUGGGAAAUGAGUGCCACCACUCUUGGAAGCUCACUAGAUCCGUGUCACAGAGCCACUGGGAUGGGAGGAUUUGUGCUGCCAGGGAGGUGGUUGGAGGUAGGCAGAGACCGGAAGCAGCUUGCUGGAGGAAGCUGUGAAAGUGAUCGUUAUCCGCUGGGGAUGCCAGAGAGGGACAAACAUUCUCAGAGACGCCACAUCAGGGCUGCUGGUCACCAGUUGCCACGCAGGAUGGGUGGUGCAGUGCCUCUCAAGGUGGUAUGCAGGCCACGCACAAGUGACCAGGUGACCCCGUCCUCUACUGACCCCUCACCCUGGUCAGCACAGAUUUACAAUAAACACCACGUGUCUGUGUCACACUUGGCCCUAGUAUGAGGCCAGGCAGGCCACGUGUCUGCGUUUCAGCAAAACGCAGCCCACCUGUUUCUGCAGCAUUUGCCUGAAAUGCAUCGGAGUCUAGCUGUCCACGGCUGGUGAGGGGUCCAAAUGCCCCUUAAAAUUAAGCUGAUUAAAGGUUUCUUUUCUCUAUUCUGAAGAAGCAAGUCAUGCUCCACCAGUGGAUAUCUGCAACUCAUCUUUACAAAAGGGUUUUCACACUCUAAGCUGGCUCAAACGAAGUGAUUUACAAAUCACUAAGCCUUUUCCCACCUUUCUUACACCUGGAUGGAAAAACCCUGCUUGUGUUUGAGGAGCAGCUGAGAACCAGACUGUGGGUUUGUUCGCCCAUGUGUCCUGAACUGAUUUCUACUUUUGGUUCUGAACGUGAUGUGAGCCCAGAACCGUCAUGGUGUUGCCCCCUCCAGGGUAGCCUGGAAAGCGGUUGCAGGGGUGACCUCUGGGAUGGGACACAAGGCAGCCUCAGCUGGGCCACACGACAGGCUCCUGGCGAAGCGGGGUUGGAGCUGGCUCCCGGAAGGGGUGGAAACAGCUUCGUCCUCAACAUCCGCAAUGUCUGCAGUUGCAGGAUUGCCUUGGAGAGAACUUGCCUGAGAUUUUCCUGGAGAGGAGUUCUGAAACUUUUCCAAAUCAUUAGCUAAAGGCUGCCCAAGCGAUUUCAUAGAGAGGAAGCAACUGUGGGGUUUGCACAGGCACUUGCUGACUCGGCAGCGCGGGCAGCGCCGACCUGGGGGUCCUCCCGCGGCUCCGUGAGCGUGGCGAGGGCCUAUCUUUCACCAUCGCCUCCGUGCGCAGUUCUGAUAACGGCUCCUUGUAGAACUACUAUGUGGAUUUAGCGGAGUUAUUGCCCGCAGAGCUCUCGGCUCUCUCUGGCACGUCGUGAACAAUGUGUGCAUUUUAAUUCCUGGAAUUCUUGAGGACAUACAGUAGGCACUGCUGCGUUCUUCUCUCGGAAAUCACCCAGAGCAGCAGGGAGAACGAAGCCAAAAUCUGCCUAUUUUUUGAUGAAUUAGGUGCAAGUACCCCCUGCCCCCAGCCACACAGCAUCGUCCCCCUCUUGCUCCACCCCAGGGCCUUGGCACCCGCUGUAUCUUCCCCUGUGUCGCACUUCCUCACCUGCUCACCUGUCGCAUCUUUUUUCUCCUGCUGCUGAAGGAGAGCCCCAGCACGUCGCGCUGUGUGUGCCUCUGCAGAGCCCAGCAGCGCCUAGCUCACGCGAGCAUGGGGUACAUGUCUGCUGAUGCUGUUGCUAUUACCAUCACGUCUGUGGGAUGGAGGAACAGGGCCGGGGGCACGGUGAGGUGGCAGAAUGUACUGACAGCACUUCCUGCCUGGAUCUUGGCCUUGUCUGGACAUUUCACAUCAGACACUUUCAGGCUCCUGCUUUGGAAGGGCAUCCAGAGGUUGCUUUGCUUUGCCCUGAUGAAUUGCAAGCGACUUCAGAUUCAUUACGCGUUGUGUGUGUCGUGCAGCUGGAUCCCACACUGACAGAGAUACAGACGUGCACGUUCAAGGAGAGCUACGCUAAGGAGGUCAAGCUGGGUUAUGUUAUGGCAAACGCACAUGCAUAUACAUGCGUACACACACAGACACACACAGACACACAGGGAGAUUCACAGAUACACAGAGACACACACAGACAGACACAGAGACACACAGAGAGACACAUGCGUGCUGGGCUUGGACAUAUCCAUCUCGGUCCCACUACAGGCUGUGAAAUGCCUCCUCCCCUCCCCCGCCCCAGGAGUGUCCGUCGGUGCCUAGAGGCAGGGCAGCUCCCAGAGCCUGGGCAGGUGCUGGUCCGAGCCCCUUCCCAUGGGCCCUGCUUCCCCUUCUCCUGCCUCCCACAGCCUCCCUCCUGCUCUCAGCAACCCGUUCGGUGAAAGUGAACGUGAGACUGGUCGUGAUCGGAAAAGCAAGUCCCUACAACCUGGGGCACAGGACCUGCAUGUGCCGCAGGCCUGGGCGUCCUCCUCCUCUCCUGGGCCUUGAGGGGCCUGGAGCCACAAAUGACCAGGUUUGCAGAUGCAGGUGGAGCUGCUCCUGCUCACCAGCGUGGGGCUGCCCCUGCUGGCCCAGCCAUUUGCUAAAAGCCACCGGUCCUUCUGUGCAGGCAGAGGCUGUGCCUUGGAAUCUCCCUCCUGGGAGGAGCAUUUUGAUUUCUGUCUCACUGAUUAGUAAACCGAGGCUCAGAAAGGUUAAUUAGCUUUCUCAGGAUCACACACCUUAUCUACCACAGAGCUGAAACGAGAAACGGUCCGCCCAAAAUCCUGUCCUCAAUUCCUAUGCUAAUACUGGAAAUUUCUGCAAACAAACCAUAUGAAACCAUAACGAGUUGGAGAGGCAGUGCAGUCUGGUAGAGUUUUGGGGUCAAGUUCUGUUGCCUCCACCUGUGGCUGCAGGGGGGUCACUUUAUUUCUCUGCACCAGUAAAAGAGAGAAAGGACACCUGGUGAGGUCAUCUCAGCUGGAAACAGACGUGCUCGGGAAACUGCCAGGUAUAUAAAUAUUCAUUACCAUUA